GGGAAUUUUACCCGCCAACAAAGACGCCGGAGCUCGCGCGGAAUACGUCACGCAGCUCACCACGUGGGAAGGGCGGCGCUCAUUGGCUACGGGAGAGUCGCUGUCGUGCUCCCUGAGGAAUAAAAAUGUCGUCUCCUGCCGUGCAGUUUCAUGCUGAUGCUUCCCUGUUCUCUGCGCAGACAUCUCUCGACUGGUGUGAGCAUUAAUUGAUCACCUAUAGAGCCUCGCGGCUACAAGGGCAGUGCCACCUUGGUAGCUUUCAAAGUGCGGUUUUGCAUUUUAUCCGAUCCAAAUCAACUUUCUUCUAGGAAAGAAGUCAGACCUCUUCCCCCACCUAAACAGUUCCACCAGCUCGCCUGGACCCCACUGAGACAGCUCACAGCAAGAAACUCACAGGGGUCAAGUUUCCCCCUGGCUUCAGUUCCUUCAUCAUCCUUUCAUGGGGUCACACAAGCACUGGGCAGCUCCGGUGAGCUGCGAGUUCCAAUACCUGUGUCAUUCCUUACUGUGUCAGAGUUACCCAGCUUCAAAAGGCUGAUUUUCCACUUUGCCAGCCUCCCAGCACCAUCUGCUCUGAGAGCUGCGGUGGGACCGUGAUUGAUCAAACAUCAGCAUCCUGCAGCUCAGCUUGCUCUCAGCUACUUCUGCAAAAGGCUUCACUAUUUUCCAGUUAAAGCCUCAGUACUAUUUGGGUAAAGCCAUAGGCUUCACCUUGUUUGCUCAAGUCUAACUGCCUGGAAUGUCUUUAAAAACUGGUUGAUGAUUUUCAAGGACAGAGUGUGACCCAAUUUUUACUUUUAGCAGUCUGGUCUUGGCGCCAUCACUACAAAGCAGAGUAUGUCACUGUAUGACAUCUGUAAUGUGAACACUGGCUGCUGAAUUAAAAAGGAUUUUUGCUA